rnacentral:lncRNA from 1 species
UAAGACCUUUUGUAACAUCCGGGGUUUCAGGUAUAUUAAUUAAUCUUUUUAUUUUAAGUUUUGAGAAGGGACUCGGCGAGUUGAUGUGUAGACUCGCCAAGUUAAGACGCGGGUUCUCAUCCGGUUUGAUGCUCGGACUCGGCGAGUCGCCUUAGUGGACUCGGCGAGUCUGCGUCGUUUAAUGAAACCCUAAUUUCUCAGGUUUGUGGCCUAUUUAAAGGGCCUUAUGGCCGUCAUUUGCGCUCAUUAGUCCCCAGAGUGAAACCCUAGAACGUUUGAGUGAUUCAAGUGAAGGAAGGAGCCAUUGUUGAUUCUUGGAGUUAUUGUCUAGCAAGGGAAGAGAAGAUCCAGCCAAGAGGAAGCAAGAGAGGGGUGGAUUCUUGAAGAGCUAAGGUCCAGGACGUCACAUCUGAGGUACCAUUCGAAUCCUUCCUUGUUAUUGUGAUGUUCAUAUAGAUUUAGGGUUUUUGAACCCAUUUGUGGCUAGAUCUAGCAUCAUCAUGGUCCCUUGGCGAGUUAUGGCUCUGAAUCUAGACCCAUAGAGGUCCAAAGCACCUCCUGGCCCAAGCUUUAUGUGCAUCCAUGGAGGUUUUUGAUUGGGAUCUAUGUAUUUGAGGCUAAACCUCCAUUAUUGAGCUAUUUGAUGCUUAANUAGAGUCGAUGACCAUAGAAGGUUGUUUGAGGUUGUGCAUGGAGUGCACUCGUCGAGUCCAAUCCCAGACUCGGCGAGUUGGUGCGGGUUUUUCAGAGACUUCGGACCAGGGACUGAGUAACCGAGUCGGGUGAGUGACUCGGUGAGUUGGAAGAGAUUCAGAGGGAAUCGGGUUCCCGUAGGGACUCGGCGAGUCCACGCCAGACUCGGCGAGUCGGGUUGACCGUUGACCGUUGACCAGUGUUGACUGGUUUGACUUAGUGGUAUUAGUCAGCCAGAGUCAAGUAGUAUUAAGUAAAGAUACACCUGUGUUGUAGGAGGACGAUAGCUCGGGAGAUCGAGCACUAGUGGUUGAGAGCUUUACGAGUUACCGAGACACGCGAGGUGAGUCUUCUCACUAUACGUUACCUUGAGUGGUAUUAUGAGUUGACCAGAGGGUCUUAUGUGCUAUGUAUGAGAUUAUGUGCUAUUUAUGAGAUUGUAUGCUAUGUGUUAUUUGUAUGCUGUAUGACUAUAUAGACCGGACCGGAGGGUCCAACGAUUCAGAUCGGGCCAGAGGGCCCAAUGAGCUAUGACUGGACCAGAGGGUCCGACGAGCUGCGGGACUGGAAGGUCCCGCUGAGACAUCUUGACCAGAGGGUCGGGUUAGCCUCGAGUGGCGUAUUUGUGGUAUGUGGUAUUUUGGGGAACUCACUAAGCAUUUAUGCUUACAGUUGUUAUGUUUGAUGUCUCAGGUACCAGCGAGGACCGUGGGAAGGCGACGGCUUGACACGUACACACACACUGAUGGAGAUUUUUAUAUGUAGAGAUCUUGGGAUUUGUUUUUGAAAACAGAAUUGAUUAUGGAUUUUGAUUUGUGAUGUGAUACAUUAUGUGAUUUUGAAAAUGAAAAAUUAUUUUGAAAAUUUACGGUGUUACAAGUUGGUAUCAGAGCCUUGGUUUGAGGGAUUCGGAUGCACCUUCGGGCGUAUUUGAACUCAAACCGAGGAUUUGAGGAAUUUUCAAAUAAAACUAAAAUUUUCUAAAAAGAAAAAGAGGUUUUGGGAAACAAGCAGAGUGGAAGGUGUGUACGGUCAGCCAGCGCCCGAACGGUGAAUCCCCAAAAUACCUUUACAUUAUAUGUUAUGAGUUAUGAGAUAUUAUGUGGUGCAUGUUAGAGAGGCUAGGUAUUCCUAUUAGGACUAGAGUGGGCCUGAUUUGUGAUGCCUUAGCUUAGGAGAUCGCUGCUGCUAGGAGACACUUUGAGAGAGUGAGUAGGUAGCAGUGAGCAGCUCAGGGGAGGGCUAUUGAGAGUAGCCAGUGCAUAGCAAGAGUAGAGUGUUUAUGAUUUGGGAUCCUAGGAGGAGGACUUGGGUUGUAUAUCGAUUCGAUGUGGACGGUAGUAUUGGGCCCGUACUAUCGAAGACACCGGAUUGGUGCGCAGUCAAAGUAAGAAUCCUUGGGAGUACCAGGAGAGAGGAUGUUUGAGUUAUCGAGUGUGAGUAUACUCGAGAGUAUUCCUGAUAUUUCUUAUGUUGUAUUUCAGAGGUUGAUCAUGGUUGGGACACGCCAUAACCCCGAGAGCAGUGGGGUGAGUGAUGAGGAGAUCCGUCGGCUCAUCCAUGAGGAGGUGGCCGAUGCCAUCAGAGCCGAGAUUCCGGAGAUGUUUGGGUCUAUUAAGACCACACUGAUCGAGAUGUUUGACGAGCGUUACGCUGCUUUGUCUGAUGCUGCUGUUGCUGUAGCCACCGCAGCUGUUGCUGCUGCGAGACCCCAGGGUGGUGAUUCGUUGCUAUACCGAGAGUUCAGCAACACGAAACCACCGGAGUUCGAUGGUACACAGGAUCCAAUUGCUGCUAUAAGGUGGAUCUCAGACAUGGAGGGGUGUUUCUAUACGUGCUCGUGUCCGGAGCACUUGAGGGUGCGAUUCGCACUCAACCAACUUCGCUUGGGGGUGAAGGACUGGUGGAAAUUCGUGACCGCGAGCUAUUCUACAGCUGAGCUGACUGCAGUGACCUGGGAGAGGUUUACUGCGAUGUUUCGUGACGAGUAUGUUCCCCAGGUGGAGAGGGAACGUUUAGCUCAGGAGUUUCUGACCCUCAAGCAGGGGACCGAAUCGGUGACAGUGGUUACGAGGAUGUUUCAUAAGCGGGCGCUGUUUUGCCCUGAGUUGGUGUCCUCUGAGCAGGCUCGCAUGAGCCGUUAUCUAAGCAUCUAUAGGAGGGACAUCCGUGAGUUCGUGGCGAACUCGACUUAUCAGACAUUUGCCGAGCUCCAGGCAAAUGCCAGGAAGAGGGAGAUCGAGCUUGAGACACAGGCGAGGGAGGAGACUGAGUUGCAGAAGGGUGAUCGGCGACCGGCACAGUCGCAGCCGGCCGCCAAGCGGGCAAAGCCCGCUGAUUCGAGGACAGGCAGUUCGAGGGGCCGCACUUGUGGGAAGUGCGGCAAGAGCCAUGACGGGCCGUGCAAGACUGGGGUAUGCUACAAAUGCGGGAAGGAAGGACAUUUUGCGAGGGACUGUCCGAAGGGGUUCUCGGUUUGCUUCCAUUGCAACCAGACCGGCCAUCGGAAGGCCGAGUGCCCCCAGCUUCAGAGAUCAGCGCAGGGAUCUGCACCUGUGGUUCGAGCUACCGAGACCCGGCCAGUGAAGGCCGAAGCACCGAAGGCUAGGGGGAGAGCCUUCCAGCUGACUGCGGAGGAGGUCCGCGCAGCACCUGACGUCGUGGCGGGUAUGUAAUCUUUAUCUAUUUUAUGUUGAGUUUAUGCUAUUGUAAUUGCUAUAUGUUGUGCGUAGGUACUUUUCUUGUGAGUUCUGUACCUGCAUUGGUUUUAUUCGACUCGGGUGCGAGUCGGUCUUUCAUAUCUUUAGCUUUUAGUCGGCACAUUAGUAUUCCGAGAGAGGCGUUGAGUCGACCUCUGCGGGUUUCCAUAGCAGAUGAGCGUGAGGUAUGUGCUACCGAGGUGAUACGUGGAUGCGUGCUGGAGAUCUUCGGGGUGGAGUUCCCGAUUGAUUUGAUUCCGAUUGCUAUGGGGGAUGUAUGUGUCAUAGUAGGCAUGGAUUGGUUGAGCCGUUUCGGGGCUGUCAUAGAUUGCGAGCGUCAGUUGGUGACGAUCCGAGAUCCUAGUGGGGGAGUGCUGACAGUUUAUGGCGAGGGGACUCGUGGUGGUUCGGUAUUCUGUUCGGCUGCCAGAGCGAGGCGGAGUUUGCAGCAGGGCUGCAAGGGAUUCGUGGCCUAUGUGACGGAUGUACGAGAGGCCGUUGGGAGGCCAAGUUCAGUGGAUGAUGUGCCGAUAGUGCGUGAGUUCCGGGACGUGUUCCCCGAGGAGUUGUCGGGCGUACCUCCCGAGAGGCAAGUGGAGUUUCGUAUCGAUUUGAUUCCCGGGGCUGCGCCUAUCGCUAAGGCGCCAUAUCGCCUAGCACCGCCAGAGAUGCAGGAGUUAUCCUCACAGCUGCAAGAGCUGUUGGGGAAAGGGUUCAUCCGUCCCAGUAGCUCUCCCUGGGGAGCGCCGAUCCUUUUUGUCAAGAAAAAGGAUGGUUCACACCGGAUGUGCAUUGAUUACCGGGAGUUGAACAAGUUGACGGUCAAGAACCGUUAUCCGUUGCCGAGGAUCGACGAUCUAUUCGAUCAGUUGCAGGGGGCGUCUUGGUUCUCCAAGAUUGACUUGAGAUCGGGAUAUCACCAGAUGAGAGUUCGGGAUGAGGAUAUCCAGAAGACGGCGUUUAGGACUCGUUACGGGCAUUACGAGUUCGUGGUGAUGCCAUUCGGGCUCACCAAUGCACCAGCGGCAUUCAUGGAUCUCAUGAACAGGGUGUGUAGGCCGAUGUUGGAUCGUUCAGUCAUUGUAUUCAUUGAUGAUAUCCUGGUGUAUUCGAGGACCAGAGAGCAGCAUGAGGAGCAUUUGAGGGAGCUCCUCGGGGUUCUGAGGUCGGAGAGGCUAUUCGCCAAAUUCUCCAAGUGUGAUUUUUGGUUACGGGAGGUCCAAUUCUUAGGGCAUCUCGUUAACAAGAACGGGAUAUUGGUUGACCCGGCCAAGAUCGAGGGCGUGAUGAGUUGGGAAGUGCCGAGGUCACCUGCGGAGAUCCGGAGUUUCUUGGGGCUGGCAGGCUACUAUCGGAGAUUUAUCAGGGACUUUUCCAAAGUUGCUGUGCCACUUACCAAGUUAACCCGGAAGGGUGUUACUUUCUCAUGGGGUCCGGAGCAGCAGACCUCAUUUGAGACUCUUCGCCAGAGAUUGUGCGAAGCUCCCGUGCUUGCAUUGCCGGAAGGGAUGGAGGAUUUUGUGGUGUACUGUGAUGCAUCGAUAUCGGGGUUGGGAGCGGUGUUGAUGCAGAGAGGGCAUGUGAUCGCGUAUGCAUCGAGGCAGUUAAAGCCUCAUGAGACGAGAUAUCCCACCCACGAUCUGGAGUUGGGGGCUGUGGUGUUCGCCCUCAAGAUCUGGCGUCACUAUCUGUAUGGGGUUCGGUGUACGAUAUACACGGACCACAAGAGUUUGAAGUACCUGAUGGAUCAGCCAAAUCUGAAUAUGCGGCAAAGGAGAUGGUUGGAUGUGGUAAAGGAUUAUGAUUGCGAGAUCCUGUACCACCCGGGCAAGGCUAAUGUGGUAGCCGACGCCCUGAGUCGUAGGGCAGAGAGUUCCCCAUUGCGAGACAUCUAUUUAAGGUUGACGGUGACGACUCCGAUUUUGGACACCAUCCGAGGGGCUUAGGCUGAGGCUGCGAGAUCAGAAAAUCAAAAGAGGGAGCGGGUGGUUGGUCAGGUAUCGGAAUUUCUUACCGACGGUCGAGGACUUAUGACGUUUCAGGGUCGGAUUUGGGUACCGUUUGUUGGCGGGACGCAUACCAUUUUGAUGGAGGAGGCACAUCGAUCGAAGUUCUCGAUCCAUCCCGGGGCUACCAAGAUGUAUUUGGACCUAAAGAAGGAGUAUUGGUGGCCCUGUAUGAAGAGGGAUGUUGCUUGGUUCGUCGAGAGGUGCCUAACUUGUCGCCAAGUUAAGGCCGAGCACCAGCGUCCGCAUGGUAAGCUGCAACCGUUGGAGAUUCCCGAGUGGAAGUGGGAACAGAUUACCAUGGAUUUUAUCACCAAAUUGCCAAGGACUGCGAGAGGAGUUGAUGCGAUUUGGGUGAUCGUGGAUAGAUUGACGAAGAGCGCUCAUUUUCUAGCCAUCAGCGAGAGCUCUUCUGCGGAGAAAUUGGCGGAAUUAUAUGUGAGAGAGGUGGUAUCGCGGCAUGGGGUUCCGAUGUUGAUUGUUUCAGACCGGGAUGUGCGUUUUACUUCCAGAUUUUGGAAGAAGUUUCAUGAAGAAUUGGGUACGAUAAUGCAUUUCAGUACCGCAUACCACCCGCAGACGGACGGACAGAGCGAGCGAACGAUUCAAACGCUUGAGGAUAUGCUCCGAGCAUGUGUUCUGGAUUUUGGAGGGAGCUGGGACACCUACCUACCUUUAGCAGAGUUUUCGUAUAACAACAACCAUCAUUCGAGCAUUGGUAUGCCACCCUUUGAGCUGUUGUAUGGGCGGAGGUGUCGCACCCCCAUCUGCUGGGGAGAGGUGGGGCAGCGGGUGAUGGGUAGCACGGAGAUUGUACUCCAGACGACCGAGCAGAUUCAGCAGGUCAGGCAGAGGUUGUUGACCGCGCAGAGUCGCCAGAAGAGUUAUGCGGACAGGCGUCGGUCCGAGCUCGAGUUUCAGGUCGGUGAUCUUGUGCUCCUAAAGGUCUCUCCUUGGAAAGGAGUGAUACGAUUCAGGAAGAGGGGCAAGUUGGGACCCCGGUACAUUGGACCCUUCAGGGUAAUUGCUAGGGUAGGCAGGGUAGCCUACCGGUUGGACCUACCUGCUGAGUUGGGGCAGAUCCAUGAUACCUUUCAUGUCUCGCAGUUGAGGAAAUGUAUUGCCGACGAGUCGGCAGUGGUGCCGUUGGAGGAUAUUCAGGUGGAUGCGAGCCUGAACUACGCAGAGAGACCAGUUGCGAUUGUGGAUCGAAAGAUCAAGGUUCUGAGGAACAAGGAAGUGCCUCUGGUACAGGUUCAGUGGCAGCAUCGGAAGGGAUCCGAGUUGACCUGGGAACCGGAGCGGGAGAUGCGGGAGCAGCAUCCAGAGUUAUUUCAGGAAUGAGACUUCGAGGGCGAAGUCAGAUUCUAGUGGGGGAGAAUUGUAACAUCCGGGAUUUCAGGUAUAUUAAUUAAUCUUUUUAUUUUGAGUUUUGAGAAGGGACUCGGCGAGUUGGUGCGUAGACUCGCCGAGUUAAGACGCGGGUUCUCAUCCGGAUUGAUGCUCGGACUCGGCGAGUCGCCUUAGUGGACUCGGCGAGUCUGCGACGUUUAAUGAAACCCUAAUUUCUCGGGUUUGCGGCCUAUUUAAAGGGCCUUAUGGCCGUCAUUUGCGCUCAUUAGUCCCCAGAGUGAAACCCUAGAUCAUUUGAGUGAUUCAAGUGAGGGAAGGAGCCAUUGUUGAUUCUUGGAGUUAUUGUCUAGCAAGGGAAGAGAAGAUCUAGCCAAGAGGAAGCAAGAGAGGGGUGGAUUCUUGAAGAGCUAAGGUCCAGGACAUCACAUCUGAGGUACCAUUCGAAUCCUUCUUUGUUAUUGUGAUGUUCAUAUAGAUUUAGGGUUUUUGAACCCAUUUGUGGCUAGAUCUAGCAUCAUCAUGGUCCCUUGGCGAGUUAUGGCUCUGAAUCUAGACCCAUAGAGGUCCAGAGCACCUCCUUGCCCAAGCUUUAUGUGCAUCCAUGGAGGUUUUAGAUUGGGAUCUAUGUAUUUGAGGCUAAACCUCCAUUAUUGAGCUAUUUGAUGCUUAAUGAGCACCAAGACUCGGACUUUACGUGAUC